rnacentral:rRNA from 1 species
CCUACGGGAGGCAGCAGUGAGGAAUCUUGGUCAAUGGCCGUAAGGCUGAACCAGCCAAGUCGCGUGAAGGAAGAAGGAUCUAUGGUUUGUAAACUUCUUUUAUAGGGGAAUAAAGGUAUCCACGUGUGGAUAUUUGCAUGUACCCUAUGAAUAAGCAUCGGCUAACUCCGUGACAGCAGCCGCGGUAAUACGGAGGAUGCGAGCGUUAUCCGGAUUUAGUGGGGUUAAAGGGUGCGUAGGUUGUUUUUUAAGUCCUCGGUGAAAGUUUGUGGCUAAACCAUAAAAUUGCCGUUGAAACUGGAAGACUUGAGUGUGUUUGAGGGAGGCGGAAUGCGUGGUGUAGCGGUGAAAUGCAUAGAUAUCACGCAGAACUCCGAUUGCGAAGGCAGCUUACUAAGCCAUAACUGACACUGAAGCACGAAAGCGUGGGGAUCAAACAGGAUUAGAUACCCCAGUAGUC